rnacentral:rRNA from 1 species
CACGUAGGGGGCAAGCGUUGUCCGGAUUUAUUGGGCGUAAAGAGCGUGUAGGCGGCCCGGUAAGUCCGCUGUGAAAGUCGGGGGCUCAACCCUCGGAUGCCGAUCGAUACUGUCGGGCUAGAGUCCGGAAGAGGCGAGUGGAAUUCCUGGUGUAGCGGUGAAAUGCGCAGAUAUCAGGAGGAACACCAAUGGCGAAGGCAGCUCGCUGGGACGGUACUGACGCUGAGGCGCGAAAGCGUGGGGAGCAAACAGG